rnacentral:lncRNA from 1 species
UCCCAAGCUCCUCUUCAUCAAACAGGCAGCCUCCCAGGAAAGUCACAUGUCUCUGCAGACCUUGAUAGUUUCUUAGUGUGUGUAUGUCUUUUGUGAUUUGGAGAGCAUCCCAUUUAAAAUAGAAAUUCAUCUUUAUCACUUUUUUUUAGAAGCUGUAUUACAAGGUACUAGAGCCUAUACAAUAACGUGUAACAAUGCUUCACAACAGAUUCAAAAUUCGUCAAUCACUUAGUCCGUUACUACUUUCAUAUCGACUACUUUCAUAUUUACAUUUCCAUUGUAAAAUGGAAUUAAGGUGGUGUUCUAAAAACAUAUUUAAUACUCUGCUGGCAUUCUAAGUGGAUGAAUGACUAUAAUUCUACUCUGAGAGUGACAGUUUCCAUACUUAAUUAACAAGAGAAGUUGAAAACUCAGGAGGCUUUGCCUUCCCUGGAAAUUACUGAUGUUAAAGGGCAGCUUUCAUUAGAAAGGAAUACACUUAGGUCUAGUGCAUUAGUGCAGAAAAAUUAAAAUAAUCUACGUUGGUCAAAUGCUAAUAGGAAAAAUUUGUUUGAAUGUCAGUUUCUCCACCAGAAAAACCUCCGGGGUGAGCAAGUCAUCAGUGUCAUUGUUCCUAGGACCUCACUGUGGUCUGAUGAGCUUCAGUCUGUGUCCAAGGAUUCAGAUAGGGUGGGAGUCGAGAAUAUAACUUUGAAGUCCUAAGAUGCAAAGGUCAAACCUAGCUCUGCCACUGCCUUGUCCCAUUUGUUUCAGAGACUCUGGGUGUUUUUUAACAUAUGCUUUUGCCCAGCAUACUAGUAUUUAAUUUAAACGAUCAAGGAUUUCAGGGCACUGCACAGAUUUUUAGAUGGUCAUUUCAGGGAGAAAUCAAAUACAGGAAAUAAUUUACCUAGGACCCUAGAGCGAGCCAGUGUUUGAACAUGGAACCCACAGAACAUUCCUGCUUCUCAAUCCAAUUUUUCAUGUACUGUAAGGUUUAUUUUCAUGCUACCUAAAAUUGUACUACUUAUACCUCCCAUACCUCUGGAGUAUUAACCAUCGGUGUGUGUCCUGAUGAAGAAUGUUACGUGAUCCUAAAAUGCCUUUAACGUUAUAUGAGGAUUCUAUUGUUGUAACGUAAAAUCGAAAAGGAGACUGUAAACGAGGUAAUGAACAUAAUGUGACCUCUAUUUCUUGCUCCUGAGAUCUGGGGAAAUGAAGCUUUUAGCCCAACUCCUGAACAAGCAGGCUCAGCUCAUCUCUGAGGGAGGACUCCCCUCAUCAACCACUGAGCCACCCAGGCAUCCCUAGAGGUCAGUUUUAAUAAAAGCCUGUAUUUUGGGACACCUGGGUGGCUCAGCAGUUGAGUGUCUGCCUCCGGCUCAGGGUGUGAUCCCAGGGUCCUGGGAUCAAGUGCUGCAUCAGGCUCCUUGCAGGGAGCCUGCUUCUCCCUCUGCCUAUGUCUCUGCCUCUCUCUGUGUCUCUCAUGAAUAAAUAAAUAUUUUUUAAAAACCGGUAUCACAUAAUUUAACAUUAAAAUUCCUGAGGUUGAUCAAGGUAUUAUUUAUUUUAAUGACUUUUAUGGAAAUCUUUCUAACCUAAUACACGUAUUUUUGAUGCCUUUCUAAAUAGCCUAUAAAUGACUUGUUUUUAAAUUGGUAACAUAGAGGCUAAGUAUGACAAAGUAUUAAAGUAGAGUGAUGCUCUCCAGGGCUUCGUAGAGCGUCUGCAUUUACACUGAGUGGCAUUAGGCUUUGAGUGCUUCUUAACCGUUUCUCUGUCCUCUCCCACCAUCGGCACUUUUCCCUCUGUCUUUUACUCAGCCUAACAGAAACCAGACAACUAAAUCUUUUGAGAUCCUGCCUAAAAUAUGAAUGAAAGACCUUUGGGUCAUCAGAGGUAUCGGUCUGGAUAAACCAAUUUGGUGCCAUCUGACUACUCUUAUGUCUUCUUGGUUCUGAGUUGUGAUCUGGAUGCUGGGAAAGGCUGGUGGCACCUGUGACCUCCUGCCAAGGCCCUGGGUCCUGGCCUUCUGACUGGCAGGCUUUUGCUUUGUAACCAGAGCUCCCUGACACAUCUCCUUGCUGUGUCUGCUUCAGUGCUAAUUCUGUUUCAUUACCUGAGCUCCUAAUAGCUGGAAUCUUGUUGCUUCUGUGGUCUGCAGCAACCCAUACCUGCUUAGUACCUAUGAAAACUGAUGAGUGCUAGGGUUUGAAUGUUUACAUCAUGCACAGAGGCUUUCCAUUCCAAGUAAGUGCCACAAUUAUGAAAGCUGCACACAAGUAGGAAAUACGCCAGCUAAAAGAAUGGUCUAAUUUGCAGGCAGCUUACAUUGUAUUUUGUAAGAAUAUGUUUGACAUUUUAAGCUUUGCUAUGGCAGUAAAUUGUACUUCUUCUAGCAGCAGGAGUUAUUAAGUCUGUGCCCAGAAUAAACCAGACUGUUUUGAAAAGUUUAAUUUUUUUCAGUUUUCAUACCUCAUUUUAUAACUGUGUUUGUCUCUUCAGAGAUAAGCCUAUGAGGAGACACAGUCUAUUAUUUCUAAUUUUAAACAAUAAAUGCCAUUUUAUAAUCUCCUUCAAAAAAAUAUGAGUUCUGACUCAAAAUUAAAAAUAAAUAAGACAGGUGAUCCCUGGGUGGCUCAGCGGUUUAGCGCCUGCCUUCGGCCCAGGGCGUGAUCCUGGAGACCCGGGAUUGAGUCCCAUGUCGGGCUCCCUGCAUGGGACCUGCUUCUCCCUCUGCCUGUGUCUCUGCCUCUCGCUC